UUUUUCUCCAUCAAUCCAGAGAAGGGCACUAAAGUGGAGAAGACAAACACAUCCCAUCUUCACGUGAAGCCAAGAGUCCUUACCUUGAUACAGGAACUUUCAGAUUAUGAAUGGCGUGAUGUCUGAACAUGGAGUAAACACACUAACAGUUAUUUAAGGGGCCACACUCACAGCAUGAAGGUUUAUUUCAGCCCUUUAUCAGUGUAAGAGUGAAAUCACCAGAUCACAUUCAUGCAGAUAGACACAUCUGUUAAAGCAAAGAAGUGGAAUAUUCUCUGAUAGGUUCGGAGCUUGAACCCAUUCGCUGGAACGCUGAAGGCAAUGCUGCACUUGGUGGACCAUCGAAGCCCAAAAAGAAUAAGACCGGUUUCAGCGAUCCAGCUCCAGAGGUAACUCCAGCUGCUGGAACUUCAAAGGUUCAGAGUGCACCCGUCCAGACCGGGAGAAUUGAAAUCAAAUCCGUCUCAGCCAUCAAUAAAAACACUGCUCGGGUUAAGGUGGAGGUGAAGAAGCAGCAGGAGUUCUAUGUGUCAACUCAAAAACUGGCAGAGAUCCUCGGUUAUAACAUGGAGGACGGGGUUGAAGGCAGAAUCAGUCGUGCCAUGCCAAUCUCAGCCGAGGCUAAAAUGCGAGAGGAUCAGAUUGUAGAGAUUAAAGUAUUUUAAGAAGAACUCGUUUGUACAUUUUUCCUGUCUGAAACAAUAAAGCUCAGUUUUUCUGGUCAUGGUUUAAUUUGAAGGUUGGUUUGUGGGGUCAUUCUUCAGAGGCGCCAUCACCUGACCAACCACACGUAAGCUCAGGACAGAAACCGUGUGUCCUAGGGUCAGGGACCAAUAAAGAACGAGCUCUGU
ensembl:lncRNA